UAGGAGUGUGAACCCCUUUCGACCGGGACGAAUACCUCGCAAGAGGGGUGACGGUACCGGUAUAAGAAGCCCCGGCUAACUACGUGCCAGCAGCCGCGGUAAGACGUAGGGGGCCAGCGUUGCUCGGAAUUACUGGGUGUAAAGGGUUCGUAGGCGGUGUGGCAAGUCGGGAGUGAAAUCUCUGGGCUUAACUCAGGGGCUGCUUCCGAAACUGCCGUGCUAGAGUGUGGGAGAGGCGCGUGGAAUUGCAGGUGUAGCGGUGAAAUGCGUAGAUAUCUGCAGGAACACCCGUGGCGAAAGCGGCGCGCUGGACCACUACUGACGCUGAGGAACGAAAGCUAGGGGAGCAAACAGGAUUAGAUACCCUGGUAGUCCUAGCCCUAAACGAUCAGGACUUGGGGUGCCACCCGUUCGGGUGUCGUCCCGGAGCUAACGCGUUAAGUCCUGCACCUGGGGAGUACGGUCGCAAGACUGAAACACCU
rnacentral:rRNA from 1 species